UUGGAGGGCAAGUCUGGUGCCAGCAGCCGCGGUAAUUCCAGCUCCAAUAGCGUAUAUUAAAGUUGUUGCAGUUAAAAAGCUCGUAGUUGAAUUUCGGGGUUAGUAGGUUGGUCAUGCCUCUGGUAUGUACUGGUCUCACUGAUUCCUCCUUCCUGAUGAACCUUAAUGCCAUUAAUUUGGUGUUUUGGGGAAUUUGGACUGUUACUUUGAAAAAAUUAGAGUGUUUAAAGCAAGCUAACGCCUGAAUACAUUAGCAUGGAAUAAUGAAAUAGGACGUUCGAUCCUAUUUUGUUGGUUUCUAGGAUUGACGUAAUGAUUAAUAGGGAUAGUUGGGGGCAUUAGUAUUCAAUUGUCAGAGGUGAAAUUCUUGGAUUUAUUGAAGACUGACUACUGCGAAAGCAUUUGCCAAGGAUGUUUUCAUUAAUCAAGAACGAAAGUUAAGGGAUCGAAGACGAUCAGAUACCGUCGUAGUCUUAACCAUAAACUAUGCCGACUAGGAAUCAGACGAUGUUAAUUUUUUAAUGACUCGUUCGGCGCCUUACGGGAAAC
rnacentral:rRNA from 1 species